AUCUGAGAGAAACUGGCUAGUUGGAAAGCUGUAUAACAUGGAGGGUAGAACUUACAGUAGCUGUUUAGUUAUUUGGUGAAUAUGCCAUGUGCCUGUAUGAAUGCAGAAUGUACUUGUUUUCAGAUGAAGAAAAAACAAACUGAACAGACUGACAUAAUAUCAAGGUCUCACUUGUGUAGGUCUUAACUAGGCCCAUUCCAGGAUAAGAGACACGAACUCAAACAGAAUAGGGCUAUACUUUGUGCCAACUACAAAAAGCAAUAAAAUAGUUUUAAACUUCCACAAUAUACUCCUACUCUUUUUCAACUUGCAUUUACAUUCACAAAGAUCAAGAAAGUAACAAUCUAUUAGAACAAUAACGAGUAACUUAAAACUAUGGGUGGUGAAAUUUCAUAGAUUAUAAUCAGACUUCUUCAGGAAGAUGUCUUACCCCAAAUUCCCCAUUUUUUUUUAUUCUAGGGAUCAAGUACAUCAUCCUGGCACCUGACAGUCACAUGUGUAACAGGUUAAACUUCUAAUGCAGGGAUCGGCAACCUUUGGCACGCGGCUCGCCAGGAUUAUGAACAAACAGGAAAAUGAAGGUGAAGACGACUGAGUUAGCUGCAGAAGCCACUAUUUUAAGUUUCGCAUGUUGACCUGGCUGACAUAGUUGAUUUAAUUUUUUUUAAAUAUUUCAUUUAACUAUUUUAGUUAGUGUGAGCACUUCUUAUCAAACUGUCUGUACUGGGCUAUCUUGAUUAUCACUUCAAAAGUUUUUUUUCUCUUAAUUAAUUGGCCUCUCAGAGUUGGUAAGACAACUCCCACCUGUUUAUGCUCUCUGUAUGUGUGUAUAUAUAUAUCUCCUCAAUAUAUGUUCCAUUCUAUAUGCAUCCGAAGAAGUGGGCUGCAGUCCACGAAAGCUUAUGCUCUAAUAAAUUUGUUAGUCUCUAAGGUGCCACAAGUACUCCUGUUCUUCUUUUUGCGGAUACAGACUAACACGGCUGCUACUCUGAAACCUGAUUUUAAAAGACUUGAAUGUUUAACUAAAUUAAAAAAUUCAUAUGCUUGUUUUGUUAAAAUGUUAUGUUUACUGUUGAAGAAAAAAAAUCCGGGAUACAUAACGUUGUUGUUUUAGUUAAAUAAAACAAUUUAAAUGUC